rnacentral:misc_RNA from 1 species
GAUGAAGAACGUAGCGAAAUGCGAUAAGUAAUGUGAAUUGCAGAAUUCAGUGAAUCAUCGAAUCUUUGAACGCACCUUGCACCCUUUGGACUGCUCCAAAGGGUAUGCUCGUUUGAGUGUCAUUGUACUCUCACACUCUCUGAUCCUUUGGAUUUGGGGAGCAGUGGACUUGGGUGCUUGCUGCUUCCUUGUGGCUCACCUGAAAUGCAUCAGUGCAUCUCUCGAUUGGACAUAGUACGGCGUGAUAAGUGUCUUCGCCGGCACCUCAUAUGAGGGUGGCCGAUCGGGAGCUCUGUGCUUUCAAACCGUCUUCGGACAACGCUGACAACUUGACCUCAAAUCGAGUAGGACUACCCGCUGAGUUUAAGCAUAUCAAUAAGCGGAGGA